rnacentral:lncRNA from 1 species
CGAUUUCCAUCUUGAGUUAUGGCAGGAAUUGGAUCAAGCACAUCUGGUGCUGGAAGUGCAGCUGUGACAGCAAGGAUCGAAAUUCUUCAAAUGAUGUACAGUAUUGCGUCACUCUGUCCCACACCUCUUUCAGAAGGGAAUUAUCUAGUAUGGAAAAAUCAAUUUGAAGGUGCAUUGCAAAUACAUAAUUUGUUAGAUUUUGUUUCUGGAAAACUUGGGACUCCGGCUCUAAGAUUAAGUGAUGGCUCUGAAAAUCCGGCAUAUGCGUCUCACAAGAGGAACGAUGGCAUAGUGCUCAGCUGGAUUAAAGCCACGGUAUGUAAGGAAAUUCAGCCUCUACUUUUACCUUGUGUUACUACAUAUGAGGCAUGGCAUAUCUUAGAAACAGAUAUUUCUCCUAUUGAUAAAAAUCAAAUUUAAGCUCUUCGUGAUGAGUUGAAUUCACUAAGGAAGACAAUAGAUAUUUCAAUGAAAGAAUAUAUUUUCAAGAUUAAGAGUUUGAAACACUCUCUAGCAGCAGCAGGAUAUUCAAUGUCUGAUGAAAGAGUGUCAGAGUAUGUUCUCAGAGGUCUUGGACCUGAAUUCCGUAUGUUUAGGAUAUCUCUGAAUUUUCAGAAGGAUAUUACUUUUACAGAACUUGCAGAUGCUCUUAUUAAAGAAGAAAUUUUGAUGAAACAACUGGAUCAACCAACAACUGAAGGGGAUUAUCAGGUGCAUUAUUCCAAUUAUAAUAAGAAUAAUUUCAAUAGAAAUGCUAAAUUUUAUCCAGGAAAAGGCAAGAAUGGUGGUUCUUAUUAUAAACCAUCAUACAAAAAUCAAGGAACAAAGGUCAUAACUGUUCCUUCUCAAAUUGCUCGGAAUAAUUUGCCUCCCAUUCUGAAUCUACCAUCUUCACAGGACAACACAUCUGCGUGUCAGAUUUGUGAGAAAAAAGGAUAUCUGGCUAGAAAUUGCCCAGAUAGAGGUAAUUUUGCUGCCUAUGCCAUGGAGGAUGAUUAUGAUACUCAGAUAACUGGAAAUGAAGAAGAAGCAGCAGCACAUUCUGUAACAGUCCAAGAUCUGGAUUGGUGUCUUGACUUAGGAGCUACUAAUCACAUGGUAGCUGAUGAAGCUUUGCUCCAUGACUGCCAGACCUAUACAGGUAUUGGGUGUGUUGUGAUUGGAUCUGGAGAUAGAUUAGUAAUUUCUAAAAUAGGAAAGUUAGACUUUGAAGUACAUUCAAAGGUUUAUACACUUAAUAGAGUUUUAUGUGUGCCGAAGAUUAAAAAAAAUCUAAUUUCUGUGACUAAACUAUGUAGUGAUUUGAACUGUUAUAUACAGAUUUCACAGAAGGAAUUUUCAGUGAAGAGCCUGAAGAUGCAUCAGACGCUUUUUUCUGGAAUUAAUAAAAGAGGGCUAUACUAUUUCAGCCCGGACAUCAACUGUAAUUUGGGUAUCAAGGUCUCUUCAGAUACAUGGCACAAGAGACUAGGACAUCCUUCUCUCAAAAUUAUGAAUAAAAUAGGACAUGUAUUAGGAUUAAACAAUUCAGAUUUAAAAUCUUUAGAAUUUUGUAAUAACUGCCCUAUGACAAAAAUGUCGAAAUUACCUUUUUCUUGUAAUGAAAUAAAAACUUCUUUUCCAUUGGAGAUAAUACAUAUAGAUCUAUGGGGUCCAGCCCCAAUUGUUUCAAUAAAAAAUUAUAAUUUUUUUGCAACAAUUGUAGAUAAUAAAACAAGGUAUACAUGGAUUAUACCAUUAAGGGCUAAAAAUGAAUUUACUGAUCAGUUUAUUCUAUUUCAGAAAAAUAUAGAAAACCAGUUAGGGCUAAAAAUUAAGAAAAUUUAUGCAGAUGAGGGUGGUGAAUUUCUUAGUACCAAGCUGAAAACUUGGCCAGGACAAAAAGGAAUAACACAUAGAUUCUCAUGUCCCUAUACACCUCAACAAAAUGGGAUUGUUGAGAGGAAACAUAGACACCUGCUUGAGACCAGCAGAUGUUUUUUUACUCAAUCCGGAAUUCCAAAAAAUAUGUGGCCAGAGGUCAUCUCUGCAGCAUGUUUUCUGAUAAAUAGGUUACCUAGUUCUGUUUUAGGGUUCAUAUCUCCCUUUGAGAUGUUAACCAAAAAUAAACCAGAUUAUAAAAUACUGAAAUUAUUUGGUUGUUCAUGUUAUCCCUUAAUAAAUAAAGGAUUAAGGAAUAAAUUUGAACCUACUGCCUAUAAAUGUGUCUUUAUAGGGUAUUCAAACAAACACAAAGGAUAUAUGUGUUUAAAGUUAGAAGAUAAUAAAGUCAUUAUAUCUCGAAAUGUCAAAUUUAAUGAAAAUGAGUAUCCUUUUUUAACUAAAACAGAUACUAAAACAGUAAAGAAGCCUGAAAAGCAAAUGAUAAUACUUCCAAGACUAGCUACUACAAUAAAUUUUGGCUUUCCUAUAAAUACAGGAAACUCAAACAGUGAGUUAAGGGUAGAACCAAAUUUGUCAAGUCAUGUAAGGAGAGUCACUCACAACAGAAUAACUCUACAAAUGACUCAAUGGAUAUAAUCUCAGAGUCAACUGAGAUAAGUAGCUCAGUACCCCAGACCAUGAGAGUUGAGUCUGAUAUGCAAUCUAACACUAGAAGUGAGACAAGACAACAAAGAGAUAUUUCUGAGAAUCAAACAAACACAGUUUGUAACUCAAUAUCACGAGAUAUAAGUAGUAGAUCUGAAGAACCAAUCAACAUAGGAGUUAGAUAUCCGACUAGAGAUAGAAAAGCACCAAAGUUUUUAGAAAACUAUGAGUGUAAUUCUUGCUCUGGCGAAGAGAUAGAACCAUCCACCUUCAGUGAGGCAAGUAAAGAACCUAAGUGGAAGGAGGCAAUGCAAGAGGAACUAGAUGCAUUGAAAGUUAACAAAACAUGGACUUUAGUACCAAAAAAUUCGUCAAUGAAUAUAGUAGGUUGUAAGUGGGUCUAUAAAAUUAAAAAGAACUCAGAUGAUUCAAUAGAANNNNNNNNNNNNNNNNNNNNNNNNNNNNNNNNNNNNNNNNNNNNNNNNNNNNNNNNNNNNNNNNNNNNNNNNNNNNNNNNNNNNNNNNNNNNNNNNNNNNUACAGUCCAGUAAUUAGGAUGAACACAGUAAGAUCAAUCAUUUCAAUUGCUGUGACAUAUAACUGGCAGCUAAGACAACUGGAUAUCAAAAAUGCCUUCCUAAAUGGCUUUCUAAACGAAACAGUAUACAUGAGACAACCAACUGGGUUUCAUAAUAAGAGUUAUCCAGAUCAUGUGUGUCUAUUACAUAAGGCUCUAUAUGGCUUAAAACAAGCACCCAGAGCUUGGUACUCAAGACUUCAAAAUUUUCUAGUUGAAAACGAAUUCAAAAAUAGUCUUACAGAUUCUUCAUUGUUCCUCAAAGUGAACAAUGGACAUAGAAUCUACAUACUAGUCUAUGUAGAUGAUAUUAUAAUUACUGGGGAUUCUAGUGAGGAAGUAAAUAGGUGCAUAGAAUUAAUAUGUAAACAAUUUUCAUGUAGAGACCUAGGGCUUCUUAACUAUUUUUUAGGAAUGGAAUGUAUAAGACAAGGGAAAACCAUAAUUCUAAGUCAAGAAAAAUAUGUGUCUGAUAUAUUGAAAAAAUUCAAUAUGAUGGAAUGCACACCAUGUAGGAUACCAAUGGUUCAAAAUCCAAGACUAAAUAAAAAUUCAGGGACUCCUAUAGAAAACAAUACAAUAUACAGAAACAUUGUAGGGUCCUUACAAUAUCUAACUAUGACUAGACCUGAUAUUGUCUUUUGUGUGAAUCAUCUUAGUCAGUUUCUACAAACACCAACUGAUGUACAUCUUAGUUUUGCUAAGAGGAUGCUAAGAUAUAUCAAGGGAUCUUCUAACCUAGGACUGAGAUUUACACCUUCAGUCAAACCAGUAAAUUCUUUGAUAGCCUACUGUGAUUCAGACUGGGCAAAUGAUACUGAUGAUAGGAGAUCAGUUUCUGGAUUCAGCAUCUGGUUUGCUGGAAAUUUGGUAGCCUGGGCAUCAAAGAAACAAGCAGUGGUAUCAAAAUCGAGUUGUGAGGCUGAAUACAGGGCACUAUCUGGGAUAACUUCAGAAGUUAAGUGGUUCUGUAAUUUGUUUAGGGAACUGGAGAUUAGGUUUGAGACAGCUCCACAAAUAUUAUGUGAUAAUAAAUCAGCAAUUUUUCUCACUAAAAAUCCAUCAUCAAACCUGAAAACUAGACAUAUAGAUAUCUCACACCAUUUUAUUAGAGAGCUGGUGAUGAAAGGGGCAAUAAAAGUGGAUUAUAUUGCUGCUAGUCAACAACUAGCAGAUGGUUUCACUAAAGUACUGGGAACAGGGCAAUUUAUGGUUCAUAGGGAUAGACAUAAACUAGUACCAACCAGUCCUGAUCCUAGAAUCAUAAUGAAGGACAAGAAUAGGCUAACAAAAUCGCAAGACAUAAGUAAACCAAAGCUAAUUAAGGAGGCUUAGGAGAAUGACUAUAUAAGGGAGACUAUAAUACUGGAUAUUAGUUUAGAUAUAUAAUAAUAAUAAUAAUAAUGAAAAUACUGAGGUGUUGUAUUUCUGAUUUCUGUUCUUAUAGUAAUACUUGUAUUCAUAUUAGGAAAUGUUAGAUAAAUAUGAUGUUGAAAAUUGCAGGGUGAUAAUCUGAAAUAUAUUCUAAAACUAUUUCUAGUUUUGGUUUGAUACAUAAUUUUGUCUGUUUGUUAAGGAAUGGUCUAUAUUUUUCUGUUUUUGGUUUGUGGGAAUGGCUACUGUGGAUGUAUGUUUGUGUGGUUGCAGGUCAUGCUAAGAUAGGUCAUGCCCAAAUAACUGGAAAUUUAAUCUGGAGCAGAAAAUGUGGAAUCUAGAGCAGCAGGAGCUUUGAGAAUGAGCAGCGAUUUUUUUUGUUUUGUUCUUUCUUUCAGGGUCUUAAUUGGUAUAACAGGAGGGUUUUCCCAGUAAAAAUGAAAGAAAGAGGAGCAAAAAUAAGAAUCCCAGCUGGGUUUUUCGCCCUACCUGUUAGCUCAAUUAAUUCAUAGCUGAGUUAGUUCACAAGACUACUAAGGAGGUGGACAGACAAGCUGAUGAUCAUACUCAUGUUCAAAUUCACAACUCAGGAUUGCAUUCUGGAGUUGUCAAUUUGCGGGGGAAUGUAAAGAGUUAAAAAUACUAUAAGGGGUUUUGUAUAAAUGUACCCAUAAUAUUAAGUAUAAGUAUAGGCUUUGUGUAAUGAUUAGUUAAGUUGAAUGUUAUAAUUCUUGAGUGUCAAUUAAAGAGUUUACUCUUUCUUCUUCUUGUUUUGACCUAACGACUUCAUUCUCCCCCUUUCUUCUAUCUUCUUCUUCUAUCAAUUUCUUGUUGAUGAUUCAGUGAAUGGAAACCUCUCCAGAUUUCUACAUGGUAUCUAGAGCUUUGUGAUUCGAUUGGGGCAUCUGGGCGUUAGGGCACGGCGAGCGCGGAAUCUUCUCAGCGUGAUUUCUUCUCGGCGUGAAUUGGAGCGGUUCCUGUUCUGUUCUUUUCUUUUCUUCCCGGCUACAGCGCGUGGUCUUUCUCUUCUCUUCUCGGCUGGCGUGGUCUUUCUUCUCGGCUGGCGUGGUCUUUCUUCUCGGCUGGCGUGGUCUUUCUCUUCUCUUCUCGGCGGCGUGAAUUUCUGGGUCUUUUCUUCUCGGCUGGCGUGGUCUUUCUUCGGCUACAGCGUGGUUCUUCUCGCCGAUUGAUUGCAAUCUGCGAUUGCAACUCUGGUUUGAAUUUUUUAUUUUUUAUUUAUUUCAUUUUUCUGUUAUCUGCAAUUGCAAGUUAUUGAACCAUUGAUUUCCAAAUUUUUUAAUUAGAUUCUGUUUGUGUUUGGAUUGAUCUGUAAGUCUGAAUUUGUUUGUGUUUGAUUUGCGUUAGAUUACGUGUUACAUUUGAUUUCAAUUUUUCAGAUUUUGUGUUCAUUGAUUUCAAUUUUUUUUUUAGAACCCAAAACGGUUGCUUGUGUCAUUGAUCCCUGGCAUUUUAUCGAUUUCUUCUAUUUCUCAUCUCGUUUUCGCCUCGUUGUUUCGUUGCUUGUUCCCCUAUAGUUUUAUUUGAUUUCGUUGGAAACUCCCUAUCAGUCUGCUAGUUUCUUUAAUCCUACUCGGUCGUUCUUUUCCAAUAGUUCAUUUGAGUGCGAUUAAAAUCUGUUUUGGGUUUACAGAUUACCUGUUAGUUUUGUUUGAGUUUACAAUAUUUUUUUUUUUUUAAUUUUCUCAUUUGAUUUAAUCUGUUUACAGAUUUGUUUUGCAUUUGAUUUCUGCGUUUUUAUCUGUUAGUAUUUUACUGAUAUUUUUUUUGCUGACAUCGAUUUGGUAUUUUCUUCUUCUUUAUUUGCCUGUUAGUAUUUGGUAUUUGGUAUUUUACUGUUAGUAUUCUUCUUCUUCUUAAAUUUUAGUUUUUUUUUUUUUUAUUUUUUUUUUUCUUUCUUUAAAUUUUGUCAUAGAUCUGUCGAUCUGUCAUCGAUCUGACAUUUUCUGUUUUUGGUUUAUGUUUUUUGUUGUUGUUGUUUGGUAAUUGAUUUCAUUGAUUUCAUCAAAUUUGUUGUUGUUUUUAGUUGUUUGUUUUUGCUGGUUAUUAAAUUUAAUUCUGAAUAAUUGCAUGCACAUAACUACAUUUUGUUUGCUUGUGUUGCAUACUAAUUAUAAAUUGUUUUUUUUUUGUUUUGUUGUUUUUGUUGUUUGGUAAUUGAUUUCAUUGAUUUCAUCAAAUUUGUUGUUGUUUUUAGUUGUUUGUUUUUGCUGGUUAUUAAAUUUAAUACUGAAUAAUUGCAUGCUAAAUCACAUAUGAAUUUAUCAGAUUGCAUGCUAAUAAAAAUAAUAAUAAUAAAUAAAUAAAAACAAAUAUCUGAUUGUGUAGUUUCUACCCACUUGAAAGUAGAUCAUAACUACAUUUUCUACUCAAUCGAUCGAUUGUGUAGUUUAUAGUUUGCUUGUAGUUGUAAAUUACAAUUGCCCAAGUGGUUAAUUGUUAUUUUGUUUGUGACGCAAGGAGCUGGUUUUUUUUUCUGGAUCUGCGAAUCAGCUUCUGUAAUCAUUGUUUUCUGUUGAGUGGCGAUUUCCAUCUUGAGCUAUGGCAGGAAUUGGAUCAAGUACAUCUGGUGCUGGAAGUGCAGCUGUGACAGCAAGGAUCGAAGUUCCUCAAAUGAUGUAUAGUAUUGCGUCACUCUGUCCCACACCUCUUUCAGAAGGGAAUUAUCUAGUAUGGAAAAAUCAAUUUGAAGGUGCAUUACAAAUACAUAAUUUGUUAGAUUUUAUUUCUGGAAAACUUGGGACUCCGGCUCUAAGAUUAAGUGAUGGCUCUGAAAAUCCGGCAUAUGCGUCUCACAAGAGGAACGAUGGCAUAGUGCUCAGUUGGAUUAAAGCCACGGUAUGUAAGGAAAUUCAGCCUCUACUUUUACCUUGUGUUACUGCAUAUGAGGCAUGGCAUAUUUUAGAAACAGAUAUUUCGCCUAUUGAUAAAAAUCAAAUUCAAACUCUUCGUGAUGAGUUGAAUUCACUAAGGAAGACAACAGAUAUUUCAAUGAAAGAAUAUAUUUUCAAGAUUAAGAGUUUGAAACACUCUCUAGCAGCAGCAGGAUAUUCAAUGUCUGAUGAAAGAGUGUCAGAGUAUGUUCUCAGAGGUCUUGGACCUGAAUUCCGUAUGUUUAGGACAUCUCUGAAUUUUCAGAAGGAUAUUACUUUUACAGAACUUGCAGAUGCUCUUAUUAAAGAAGAAAUUUUGAUGAAACAACUGGAUCAACCAACAACUGAAGGGGAUUAUCAGGUGCAUUAUUCCAAUUAUAAUAGGAAUAAUUUCAAUAGAAAUGCUAAAUUUUAUCCAGGGAAAGGCAAGAAUGGUGGUUCUUAUUAUAAACCAUCAUACAAAAAUCAAGGAACAAAGGUCAUAACUGUUCCUCCUCAAAUUGCUCGGAAUAAUUUGCCUCCCAUUCUGAAUCUACCAUCUUCACAGGACAACACAUCUACGUGUCAGAUUUGUGAGAAAAAAGGACAUCUGGCUAGAAAUUGCCCAGAUAGAGGUAAUUUUGCUGCCUAUGCCAUGGAGGAUGAUUAUGAUACUCAGAUAACUGGAAAUGAAGAAGAAGCAGCAGCAUAUUCUGUAACAGUCCAAGAUCUGGAUUGGUGUCUUGACUCAGGAGCUACUAAUCACAUGGUAGCUGAUGAAGCCUUGCUCCAUGACUGCCAGACCUAUACAGGUAUUGGGUGUGUUGUGAUUGGAUCUGGAGAUAGAUUAGUAAUUUCUAAAAUAGGAAAGUUAGACUUUGAAGUGCAUUCAAAGGUUUAUACACUUAAUAGAGUUUUAUGUGUGCCUAAGAUUAAGAAAAAUCUAAUUUCUGUGACUAAACUAUGUAGUGAUUUGAACUGUUAUAUACAGAUUUCACAGAAGGAAUUUUCAGUGAAGAGCCUGAAGAUGCAUCAGACGCUUUUUUCUGGAAUUAAUAAAAGAGGGCUAUACUAUUUCAGCCCGGACAUCAACUGUAAUUUGGGUAUCAAGAUCUCUUCAGAUACAUGGCACAAGAGACUAGGACAUCCUUCUCUCAAAAUCAUGAAUAAAAUAGGACAUGUAUUAGGAUUAAACAAUUCAGAUUUAAAAUCUUUAGAAUUUUGUAAUAACUGUCCUAUGGCAAAAAUGUCGAAAUUACCUUUUUCUUGUAAUGAAAUAAAAACUUCUUUUCCAUUGGAAAUAAUACAUAUAGAUCUAUGGGGUCCAGCCCCAAUUGUUUCAAUGAAAAAUUAUAAAUUUUUUGCAACAAUUGUAGAUAAUAAAACAAGGUAUACAUGGAUUAUACUAUUAAGGGCUAAAAGUGAUUUUACUGAUCAGUUUAUUCUAUUUCAGAAAAAUAUAGAAAACCAGUUAGGGCGAAAAAUUAAGAAAAUUUAUUCAGAUGAGGGUGGUGAAUUUCUUAGUACCAAGCUGAAAACUUGGCUAGGACAAAAAGGAAUAACACAUAGAUUCUCAUGUCCCUAUACACCUCAACAAAAUGGGAUCGUUGAGAGGAAACAUAGACAC